UACGUAGGUGGCAAGCGUUGUCCGGAAUUAUUGGGCGUAAAGCGCGCGCAGGCGGCCUCUUAAGUCUGAUGUGAAAGCCCCCGGCUCAACCGGGGAGGGCCAUUGGAAACUGGGAGGCUUGAGUAUAGGAGAGAAGAGUGGAAUUCCACGUGUAGCGGUGAAAUGCGUAGAGAUGUGGAGGAACACCAGUGGCGAAGGCGACUCUUUGGUCUGUAACUGACGCUGAGGCGCGAAAGCGUGGGGAGCAAACAGG
rnacentral:rRNA from 1 species